AGUGAACGCUGGCGGUAGGCCUAACACAUGCAAGUCGAACGGCAGCACAGUAAGAGCUUGCUCUUACGGGUGGCGAGUGGCGGACGGGUGAGGAAUACAUCGGAAUCUACUUUUUCGUGGGGGAUAACGUAGGGAAACUUACGCUAAUACCUCAUACGACCUACGGGUGAAAGCAGGGGAUCUUCGGACCUUGCGCGAUUGAAUUAGCCGAUGUCGGAUUAGCUAUUUGGCGGGGUAAAGGCCCACCAAGGCGACGAUCCGUAGCUGGUCUGAGAGGAUGAUCAGCCACACUGGAACUGAGACACGGUCCAGACUCCUACGGGAGGCAGCAGUGGGGAAUAUUGGACAAUGGGCGCAAGCCUGAUCCAGCCAUACCGCGUGGGUGAAGAAGGCCUUCGGGUUGUAAAGCCCUUUUGUUGGGAAAGAAAAGCAGCAGGUUAAUACCCCGCUGUUCUGACGGUACCCAAAGAAUAAGCACCGGCUAACUUCGUG
rnacentral:rRNA from 1 species